GGGGAUUUAGCUCAGCGGCAUAAGCGCCUGCCUUGCAAGCAGGCAGUCGUAGGUUUGAUCCCCAGUACCUA
rfam:Cavia porcellus supercont2_72 genomic scaffold, whole genome shotgun sequence.